UACGUAGGGGGCUAGCGUUGUCCGGAAUCAUUGGGCGUAAAGAGCGUGUAGGCGGCCCGGUAAGUCCGCUGUAAAAAGUCAAAGGCUCAACCUUUGAAUGUCAGUGGAUACUGCCAGGCUAGAGUCCGGAAGAGGCGAGUGGAACUCCUGGUGUAGCGGUGGAAUGCGCAGAUAUCAGGAAGAACACCAACGGCGAAGGCAGCUCGCUGGGACGGUACUGACGCUGAGACGCGAAAGCGUGGGGAGCGAACAGG
rnacentral:rRNA from 1 species